UGCCAGCAGCCGCGGUAAUACGUAGGGUGCGAGCGUUAAUCGGAAUUACUGGGCGUAAAGCGUGCGCAGGCGGUUUUGUAAGUCAGAUGUGAAAUCCCCGAGCUCAACUUGGGAACUGCGUUUGAAACUACAAGACUAGAAUAUGUCAGAGGGGGGUAGAAUUCCACGUGUAGCAGUGAAAUGCGUAGAGAUGUGGAGGAAUACCAAUGGCGAAGGCAGCCCCCUGGGAUAAUAUUGACGCUCAUGCACGAAAGCGUGGGGAGCAAACAGGAUUAGAUACCCUGGUAGUCC
rnacentral:rRNA from 1 species